rnacentral:tRNA from 1 species
GCCUGAGUGGCUCAGUCGGUUGAGCGUCUGACUUUGGCUCAGGUCACGAUCUCGCGGUCCGUGAGUUCGAGCCCCGCGUCAGGCU